rnacentral:ncRNA from 2 species
GUGCCUGGCGGCCGGAUUGAAUAACGUAUGUGGAAUUGAAGUUGAUAUACAUUCCAUGAACAUUUGAGGGACAUCAAUUUCUUUUUCAAUUACAGUUCUUCUUGUUCCCGGCCCUGCA